rnacentral:rRNA from 1 species
UACGGAGGGUGCAAGCGUUGCUCGGAUUUAUUGGGCGUAAAGGGUAGGUAGGUGGUCUCAUUUGUCUAGGGUGAAAGCCUUGAGCUUAACUCAAGAAGUGCCCUAGAAACGGUGAGACUGGAGUCCUAGAGAGGGUCGUGGAAUUCCCGGUGUAGCGGUGAAAUGCGUAGAGAUCGGGAGGAACACCAGAGGCGAAAGCGGCGACCUGGAUAGGUACUGACACUCAACUACGAAAGCGUGGGGAGCAAACAGG